rnacentral:lncRNA from 13 species
AACACUCCGAUUGACUGCUGCUGAGGCUUGAACACUGCCAGAGAGAACUGCGUUGAUUAUGAAGGGGAAAGGUGUACUGACUGUUUUCCUACUUGCACUUGUUGCAAAAUCCUCCGUGUCUCUUCCGAUCACUAUAACCGUGAUGUUGAAUCACCCAGUUACACCGCCCUGCUCUGGAUCAUGCCAUGGUGGCAGAAAUAAGACGGGAAGGAAAGAUCUAUAGAAUAAAUGGAACAUUCUGCCAUCACUCCGUGGAUCCAAGACCAAGAAAACACAUCCCAUCAGGAAAAAACACUGGCAUGUCACGCUCUGCUCUGUCGUCGCUGCCAGCCACCAGCAUGACUGACACACACUUCAUCUGCGUCUCUCUACUACCACCGUGCGAUAGUCUCGGCUCCCAUUGUGAACUUCACCCCUUACACACCAGCAUAGCUGAGGGGGGAGAGAGACUCGGAAGAAAUGCUGAGAGCUCCGCUGCAGCCCAGCCCAUUGAAAAUCCUACGAGGCCGCCUACAAUUGACACGUCACAUUGCAUCAACCAAUGGUUGUGUGCCAUGUCACUGACAAUAAUAAAAUACAUCUUUCACGCAGAACUCUCCGUCUUCAGUCAUUCAAAUAAUAUGUUUAGAUAUUAAGGAGGCUGUAUGUCUGUAUUAUCACAGCACUAUAAUAAAAGGGGGGUCCUCAGAAUCCAUUGUGAGACUAAAAACGUCAUAAGUCUCGUCAAUAAACUACGACGAUACAGCCUAUAGACAGACAAGAAGCGCAGUGUCUAACAGCGAUGUGCAGCGGAAACAACCUGGAGCUGAACACAACGAAAAGAAAGGACGUCAUAGAGGAUUUUAUAAAUGUUUUAUUUGUUCCGUGUGACUGUUAUACUGUCUACCUCUGUGUGCUAUGUAGACCUACUAUAUGUGAGAGAGCUCCAAAUAAUAGUUCCAAUAUAUUACUUUUAAUAGGUACUUGCAAAUGACAAUUAUACUACUUGAAUGAAAUGGAUUAAACUACUUGAAUAAAAUUUAGAAAAGCUUCUGAUUGAGUUUGGAACUGUCAGAUAAUUUCUGUAGCACAGAAAUAUAACGAUAGUAAAAUGUAGCGUAAUGAAACAGGCAGGGAGCAGGACUCGAACCCUCGACCUCCAGCGCGCUAUCGACUGUGCCCCAAAAGCAUAUUCAAGCAGUGAGGACGAUGGCAGUCAGAGGCAGGAACACGGCUGCGUUACGACACCAGUCAAAUCGAUGCGCAGCUCUACUAUCUCGGUUGUAGCUCGGGCAGACGAGAGUCUUUCACACGAGAACAUCCAACCACGGCUGUCGUCAUCCACAUCCCCGAAAACCAAUACAAGGACGCGGCCUCUGGAUCAAGUUCAAAACCCCCGAGCUGACAAGGACCAAAUCUGCUGUUCUGCCACUGAACAGGCAGUUAAACACAGUGUUCCUAGGUCGUCAAUUGAAAAUAAGAAAAAUGUAAAAAAAAACAUUGAAUUCAGCUGAUGCAUAGCUUGCAAACAGUCAAACUCAAAUAAGCCAUUGCCUCAAGGAGGAGAAAGCUGCAGGAGAAGGCGCACAAGGAAAGAGGGGAGCCCCGAUGCAGCUAGAAGGAAGGGGAGCCGACCAACAAUGAGACUUCCUCUUCCCCGCAGACUGUUAAAGACUGUCUCACAUUUACCCUGUUUUGAUUUUGUUUGGUGUGGUUUUCUAUUUCGGUGUGUGUGCUUGUUCAGAUCUCGAAAGUGUGAAUAGUGUGUAAUUUACUCUUAACGGUCUGUUCUAUUUUCUAUUUCGGUGUGAUUCUUUAUAAUGUCACGGUUUGUAUUUGUGAUGUUUAAUAAAAUAAUUAUUUGAGUAAUUCUUUGUGUCGUGCUUUUUUUUAAGGUUUUGGAUUUGGUCUGCGUCACUUAAUUUGUAAGUGUUGAACCUUCACUGUGUUUACUGUCCUUCACGGUGGUUAAAAAUUGGCAUGGGAAACAUACGUUAACAUAAGCAAGUGAAGUAGAUUAAUAAACAAUGAAGACCUGCUGUAGUCUGUAUACCUGCUGUUCUGGAAGCACAAGUUGUACUAGAAACUUAGACAGGCUGAACUCAUCACAGACAGGGAAACAAAUGGCAUCAACCUAGUCUCUAGGCCGUGCCGAGUUCAACGAGAUGCCCCACUUGACCGUAGCUCACUCGGUCUGAGAGCAGCAACCGUGAAAAAAAGUAGGCCCAAAAUGAAGCCUGGCCCUAAAUUUCAGGUGCUCCUGGGGGACAGCGGCGUAGCCGUUAGGGUGANNNNNNNNNNNNNNNNNNNNNNUAGCAACGCCCUCGCUGCUCGGCCUCCAAAUGACCUAUCGAGCCGAAACUCGGGAUUUGGGGUCGCCUCACAUAGGCCUACACGUCAGAACUGGACCCGCAGCUAGAAUGUAGCUACGUGUUUUAUGUUUUUGUUAUGGUUUAAACAGAAGGCGCUGUGUAUUAUGGGCCUGGUUUGAAAUAUGUGAUAGUUGGCUUCUAAAUGAGUUGGAAAAAGUGGGUGUGGUGUCAGUUUGGUGUGAGAAUGAUAUCUAAGAGAUGAGUCUUNNNNNNNNNNUCGGUGUGAUUCUUUAUAAUGUCACGGUUUGUAUUUGUGAUGUUUAAUAAAAUAAUUAUUUGAGUAAUUCUUUGUGUCGUGCUUUUUUUUAAGGUUUUGGAUUUGGUCUGCGUCACUUAAUUUGUAAGUGUUGAACCUUCACUGUGUUUACUGUCCUUCACGGUGGUUAAAAAUUGGCAUGGGAAACAUACGUUAACAUAAGCAAGUGAAGUAGAUUAAUAAACAAUGAAGACCUGCUGUAGUCUGUAUACCUGCUGUUCUGGAAGCACAAGUUGUACUAGAAACUUAGACAGGCUGAACUCAUCACAGACAGGGAAACAAAUGGCAUCAACCUAGUCUCUAGGCCGUGCCGAGUUCAACGAGAUGCCCCACUUGACCGUAGCUCACUCGGUCUGAGAGCAGCAACCGUGAAAAAAAGUAGGCCCAAAAUGAAGCCUGGCCCUAAAUUUCAGGUGCUCCUGGGGGACAGCGGCGUAGCCGUUAGGGUGAGAAGGAAAAGUCAAACGCAGGGGUGUUCCUAAGGUCCUCCUGAUCUGUGCAAGCCUAACCUUGACCGUGUGGCAUUAACCCUUAACAGUUAAAAGAAGGUGUUUACAUCAAACAGUUUGCAAUGACUUCUCUCCCCAUAGGAAUACAUUACCUGCUCCCCUAAAUUCAACCUGAAGCCUAUGUGGGUUAUGAAUGUCUUAUGAACCUGUCUUCGAUGCCAAUUCAUCAGGCCACUAUGAGCUCUACCUGUGUUGAUUAAAUUCACCCUAAAGGUGUUUUGAUAUACACAACCUGAAGUUUUUGAUAAACACUGCAUUCAACCCUGUGUAAAUCAGUCAAUUCUUAACGUAAAGACUUUAAACCUAGGAUUCUGUAAAAAGAGGAUAUGUGAUUACUUGAAGCUUCCUGUGCCAACCGGAAGUGCCUCAGACCGAGAAACAGCCUCGUACAUUUGCAAUGACUUAAAAUCAUUUUGACAUGAAAAGUACGACAUUUAGAAAAGUCCCAGAGUCGCAAAACUAGGUGCAUUGAAACCGCCUUGGCCCAUAGAGACUGACCCCAACGUUUCUGUCCAAUAUCUCAUUCAAGGACCCCAUAGCAACGCCCUCGCUGCUCGGCCUCCAAAUGACCUAUCGAGCCGAAACUCGGGAUUUGGGGUCGCCUCACAUAGGCCUACACGUCAGAACUGGACCCGCAGCUAGAAUGUAGCUACGUGUUUUAUGUUUUUGUUAUGGUUUAAACAGAAGGCGCUGUGUAUUAUGGGCCUGGUUUGAAAUAUGUGAUAGUUGGCUUCUAAAUGAGUUGGAAAAAGUGGGUGUGGUGUCAGUUUGGUGUGAGAAUGAUAUCUAAGAGAUGAGUCUUCUCCUUGUGUUGAGUCUUCUCCUUGCGACGAGUCUUCUCGUGUUGAUUACCUACCUGUCGAGUCCCCUCCUUGUGUCGAGUCCUCUCGUGUUGAGUCCACUGCUUGUGUAGAGUCUUCUCCUUGUGUCGAUGACCUACCUGUCGCGUCCUCUCCUUGUGUAGACUCCUCUCGUGUCGAGUCCUCUACUUGUUUAGAGUCCUGUCCUUGCGACGAGUCUUCUCCUUGUGACGAGUCCUGUCCUUGUGUAGAGUCCUCUCGUUUUGAGUCCACUGCUUGUGUAGAGUCUUCUCCUUGCCACGAGUCUUCUCCUUUUGUUGAUUACCUACCUGUGGAGUCCUCUCCCUGACUCGAGUCCUGUACUUUUGAUCAGUCUUCUCUUUGCGAUUAGUCUUCUCCUUGUGUCGAUGACGUCCUCCUGUCGAGUCUUCUCGUGUCGAGUCUUCUCCUUCUGUAGAGUCUUCCCCUUGCGACGAAUCCUGUCCUUGUGAUCAGUCUUCUCCUUGUGUCAAGUCUUCUCCUUGUGUCAAGUCCUGUCCUUGUGAAGAGUCUUCUCCUUGAGUCGAUUACCUACCUCUCGAGUCCUCUCAUGUCAAGUCCUCUACUGUGUAGAGUCUUCUCCUUGUGUCGAUAACCUAACUGUGGAGUCCUCUCCUUUUGACGAGUCCUGUCCUUGUGUAGUCUUCUCCUUGUGUAGAGUCUUCUCCUUGUGUAGAGUCUUCUCCUUGUGUCGAUUACCUACCUGUCGAGUCAUCUCUUGCGACAAGUCCUGUCCUUGCGACGACGCUUCUCCUUGUGUAGGCUUCUCCUUGUGUAGAGUCUUCUCCAUGUGUCAAUUACCUACCUGUCGAGUCCUCCUUGUGACGAGUCCUGUUCUUGCGACGAGUCUUCUACUUGUUGAUUACCUACCUUUCGAGUCCUCUUGUGUCGAGUUCUCUCCGUGUAGAGUCUUCUCCUUGCGACAAGUCUUCUCCUUGUGUCGAUUACCUAUCUUUCGAGGCCUGUGCUUGCGACGAGUCUUCUCCUUGCGUAGAGUCUUCUCCUUGCGUCGAGUCUUCUCCUUGUGUCUAUUACCUACCUGUCGAGUCCUCUCCUUGUGACGAGUCCUGUCCUUGCGACGAUUCUUCUUGUGUCGAUUACCUACCUGUCAAGUCUUCUCCUUGCAAAGUCUUCUCCUUGCGUAGAGUCUUCUCCGUGCGUAGUCUUCUCCAUGUGUCAAUUACCUACCUGUCGAGUCCUCUCCUUGUGUCGAGUCCUGUCGUUGUGAAGAGUCUUCUUGUGUCGAUUACCUACCUGUCGAGUCCUGUCCUUGUGUAGAGUCUUCUCCUUGCGGAGAGUCUUCUCCUUGCGGAGAGUCUUCUCCUUGCGGAGAGUCCUCUCCUUGCGGAGAGUCGUGUGAAUUACCUACCUUUUGAGUCCUCUCGCGUCGAGUCAUCUCCUUGUGACGAGUCUUCUUCUUGUGACGAUUACCUACCUGUCGAGUCCUCUCCUUGUGUCGAUUCCUGUCCUUGUGACGAGUCUUCUUGUGUCGAUUACCUACCUGUCGAGUCCUCUCCUUAUGUCGAGUCCUGUCCUUGUGAAGAGUCUUCUAGUUGUGUCGAUUACCUACCUUUCAAGUCCUCUCGUGUCGAGUCCUCUCCUUGUGUCGAUUCCUGUCCUUGCGAC